GAUGAACGCUAGCGGCAGGCCUAAUACAUGCAAGUCAAGGGGAUAGCAAUAUCACCGGCGGACGGGUGCGUAACGCGUACACAACGUGCCCAAGGGCGGAGGAAAGCGGCGGGAAACUGCCGGUAAUACUCCAUGGUGUUGUUGAGUGGCAUCACUUAACAACUAAAGUACAAGCGCCCUUGGAUCGGUGUGCGUUCGAUUAGCUAGUUGGCGGGGUAACGGCCCACCAAGGCUUCGAUCGAUAGGGGGUGUGAGAGCAUGACCCCCCCACACGGGUACUGAGACACGGACCCGACUCCUACGGGAGGCAGCAGUAAGGAAUAUUGGACAAUGGGCGGAAGCCUGAUCCAGCCAUGCCGCGUGAAGGACGAAGGCGCUCAGCGUUGUAAACUUCUUUUGGAUGGGAACAAUAACUCCGACUUGUCGGAACUUGAGGGUACCAUCAGAAUAAGCACCGGCUAACUCCGUG
rnacentral:rRNA from 1 species